CGGAGAAGGGACCCCGAGGGCCUGAGGAGGUGGUUCGGUUUCUGGUCGGGAAAAGCGGAAGAGUUUCGGAGGCAGCUGAUUCCCGGCGACCUCUGGUGGCAGUCGGGCCUAGUCGAGCCGGCCGCCGCACGACCCAAAUGCGGGAGCUUCAUGUUCCCCGGUGGGAGAUGGGAUUUGGGGCUGUGAUCGGGGCUGCUCCCUGACCGCUGACUCCCUGUCCGGAUGGUUGAGGUCCAGACGCUGCUCACUUCCAGCCGGGAAAAUCCAGCUCCACCCCCAGGUGGUUUGAACUUUGAGCCUCUUAUAGUCCUGAUGAACAGUUUCGCUUUCCUCAAGUUUAAGACACUUGGAACUUCAAGAAUUGGAGGUUUAUGCAAUUUGAGACCGGUCCGCACUGAGCAGAGUUCAGAGGAUUAAGAGACAGUAAAAUGGCUUCCAGAGGAAAGACAGAGACAAGCAAAUUAAAGCAGAACUUAGAAGAACAGUUGGAUAGACUAAUGCAGCAAUUACAGGACCUGGAGGAAUGCAGAGAGGAACUUGAUACAGAUGAAUAUGAAGAAACCAAAAAAGAAACUCUGGAACAACUAAGUGAAUUUAAUGAUUCACUAAAGAAAAUUAUGUCUGGAAAUAUGACUUUGGUUGAUGAACUAAGUGGAAUGCAACUGGCUAUCCAGGCAGCUAUCAGCCAGGCCUUUAAAACCCCAGAGGUCAUCAGAUUGUUUGCAAAGAAACAACCAGGUCAGCUUCGGACAAGGUUAGCAGAGUUCCCCGACCAGGGAUCGAACCCGCGUCCCCUGCAUUGGAAGGCGGAUUCUUUACUACUGGACCACCAGAUGGAUAGAGAUCUCAUGGUAGGAAAGCUGGAAAGAGACCUGUAUACUCAGCAGAAAGUGGAGAUACUAACAGCUCUCAGGAAACUUGGAGAGAAGCUGACUGCAGAUGACGAGGCCUUCUUGUCAGCAAACGCAGGUGCUAUACUCAGCCAGUUUGAGAAAGUCUCUACAGACCUUGGCUCUGGCGACAAAGUUCUUGCUUUGGCAAGUUUUGAGGUUGAAAAAACAAAAAAAUGACAUGGUGUGAAAACUUAGGACAUUGAUCGCAUUCUUGUUGUAAAUGGCAUUUUUCUUCCGGGGAUUCUGAGUCAUGGCAAAGAAGUCAAGAGAUUCAUGAAGUGUAUUAAUAACCUAAGAAAAGGGAAGCAAUUGGAAGUGGCAGCUCGAGGCCCUCCCUGUGUGUGACCUCUUUGCUGAAACCCAGAGGGUGGUGACUGUAAACUACUAUUUACUCUUCAGUUUUGGGAGAAACACAGAAUAAGUUAUGAGAAGAAGCCGGUUUCUCUCCUGAGUGUUUAUGUCUCUCUGCAUGCUCAGAUAUAUAGAUUUUUCCCAUAUGCAUGUACGUCACCUUAUUUCCUAGGCUCUGACCACUUUAUAUUCUUUCACAUUUUUCUCAAUAUUCUUUUUCUUUAGACUUUAUACAAAUUAAAAACAUUUUUAAAGCUUC